rnacentral:rRNA from 1 species
AUUGAACGCUGGCGGCAUGCCUAACACAUGCAAGUCGAGCGGAGGAAGGGGGCUUUCUCCUGGAUUCAGCGUCGGACGGGGGUGUAUUGCCUAUGAAUCUGCCUGGUAGUGGGGGAUAACGUCCGUAAACGGGCGCUAAUACCGCAUACGUCCUGAGGUAGAAAGUUGGGGAUCUUCGGACCUCACGCUAUCAGAUGAUCCUAGGUCGGAUUAGCUAGUUGGUGGGGUAAAGGCCGACCAAGGCGACGAUCCGUAACUGGUCUGAGAGGAUGAUCAGUAACACUGGAACUGAGAAACGGUCCAGACUCCUGCGGGAGGAAGAAGUGGGGAAUAUUGGACAAUGGGCGAAAGCCUGAUCCAGACAUGCGGCGUGUGUGAAGAAGGUCUCCGGAUUGUAAAGCACGUUAAGUUGGGAGGAAGGGCAGUAAGUUAAUACCUUGCUGUUUUGACGUUACCAACAGAAUAAGCACCGGCUAACUUCGUG